CUUAUAGCAAGUCCUGCCUUUAAGAAAUUAACAUUACACUGAAGGCUUCUACUUCCAUAAUUUGGGAGAAUAAGCAUUCUAUGGUUAUUGAGAAGCAGCAAGCAAUAGUGAAGAGAUAUAGAAGUAAUUGGGUUCUGAGUACUUUGUCAUAGAGCUCAGUAUCUGCAUGGAAAUAUAAUAAAAGGGCCGAAAAAGGGUAUCCAAUGGCAUUUCAGACAUGAGUAGUCAUCAUAACUUCAUACUCUCUCUGUGGCAUUUCACCUGCCAAAGAUCUCCUUGGGACCAGAUUCCAUUCUCAGCUUGUGACCAAGAUAAAGUUACCAUAUAACUAAUCUUUUUGGAAUGGGAAGUCAAGGACCAGAUAAAAUUAAAUGCCUUUGACACUAUCACCCAAGAGACCAGUGCUUCAUUACUGAUGAGAUGAUGUGCAGUUCAUCACAGAGCAAUGUCACUAAUGAGCCUUCUAAACAACCAGAACCACACUUUUUAAUAAGGAUUGGAAAAUGAGAACUACGAUGUCUUGCCUGUUAGAGAAAAAAAGGAGUGUGAGAGAUAUACAAAGUCCUGCCUCAUGUAAAUUGGUAUUUGCCUUUUCAAAUGACAUGUUUGUUAGUCAAGUAUACAAAGAUGUCUUAGGCAGGUACUGGG